GGGAGGACUGCAAGGAGGGAGGCGUGUGUGAACGUGGGGUGAGCACCCCCCCAGGGCAGCCCCAAAUUCCUGAAGCUGGCACUGGAGAGGCGCAGAGCAGGCCCAGCCCUCCAGCUGCUCAUGCUCAGCCCCUCAUGCCCUGUCUCUGUCCCCACCCCCUGGCAGCUGGCGGAGAUCCACGGCGUGCCCCGUGGGCUGUAUGACGGGCCCGUCCACGAGGUGAUGGUGCCUGCCAAGCCAGGGAGUGGUGCUCAGGCCCGCGCGUCCUGCUCAGGCAAGAUCUCAGUUCCUCCUGUGCGCAACCUACAUCAGUCGGGGUUCAGCCUAUCUGGGUCUCAGGCUGAUGACCACAUCGCCCGACGCACAGCACAGAAGAUCAUGGCACCACCCGGCGGCCGCU
rnacentral:sRNA from 1 species